rnacentral:rRNA from 1 species
GAUGAACGCUGGCGGCGUGCCUAAUACAUGCAAGUCGAGCGAACAGACGAGGAGCUUGCUCCUCUGACGUUAGCGGCGGACGGGUGAGUAACACGUGGGUAACCUACCUAUAAGACUGGGAUAACUUCGGGAAACCGGAGCUAAUACCGGAUAAUAUAUUGAACCGCAUGGUUCAAUAUUGAAAGACGGUUUUGCUUUCACAUAUAGAUGGAUCCGCUCCUCAUUAGCUAGUUGGUAAGGUAACGGCUUACCAAGGCAACGAUCCGUAGCCGACGUGAGAGGGUGAUCGGCCACACUGGACCUGGGACACGGUCCAGCCUCCUACGGGAGGCAGCAGUAGGGAAUCUUCCGCAAUGGGCGAAAGCCUGCCGGAGCAACGCCGCGUGAGUGAUGAAGGUCUUCGGAUCGUAAACCUCUGUUAUUAGGGAAGAACAAAUGUGUAAGUAAAUAUGCACGUCUUGACGGUACCUAAUCAGAAAGCCACGGCUAACUACGUG